rnacentral:rRNA from 1 species
GAUGAACGCUGGCGGCGUGCCUAAUACAUGCAAGUCGAGCGAACAGACGAGGAGCUUGCUCCACUGACGUUAGCGGCGGACGGGUGAGUAACACGUGGAUAACCUACCUAUAAGACUGGGAUAACUUCGGGAAACCGGCGCUAAUACCGGAUAAUAUAUUGAACCGCAUGGUUCAAUAGUGAAAGACGGUUUUGCUGUCACUUAUAGAUGGAUCCGCGCCGCAUUAGCUAGUUGGUAAGGUAACGGCUUACCAAGGCGACGAUGCGUAGCCGACCUGGGAGGGUGAGCGCCCAGACGGGAGCGGAAACGCGGUCCAGACUCCUACGGAAGGCAGCAGUAGGGAAUCUUCCGCAAUGGGCGAAAUCCUAACGGAGCAACGCCGCUUGAGUGAUGAAGAUCUUCGGAUCUUAAAGCUCUGUUAUUAGGAAAGAACAAAUGUGUAAGUAACUAUGCACGUCUUGACGGUACCUAAUCAGAAAGCCACGGCUAACUACUUG